rnacentral:lncRNA from 1 species
CCUGUGUGAUCUAUGGAGGAGAGGAAUGACUUUGGGACCCCCAGCCAGGGAUGCUUCCGGUCCUUUGUGGAGGCGAUUCAGGAAGAUGCAUGGCUGUUCCCUGAACUCCUCAUCGUGUCCAGCUGGGAGCAAGCCCUUGAAGAACUAUGGUUACAAGGCACCUUCAUAGACUUCCCCCACAUCCCGAAAUCACAGGCUUUGGCAGGCGUCUACUGAUUUGGCUGAUAUUACUCACUGACUUAUUAACUUCUCUAUCCAGCCCUCUGCCCCCAACACUCCUCCUCCUACCCCACAAUGCCCCUGACUCAGCAGGAAUUAGCCAGAGGACUCGGUGUCCCUUACAUUUUAAUAAAUCAAAAAGGGAGGAAUGUUGGGCACAGAAUGAGGACAGGGCCAGGCCACCACCCCACAAUGGCCGCAGCCCCUAGGGCUCUAGGCUUCCGGCUUCUUCUUCCUGAUUAGGAGGAAAAGUCCACCAAAAGAGCCCCCAAAAAGACCGGUCACCUGCCCAGGAGCCCAAUAGGAAAUUAACAACAGGAACUUACCAUCACCCGGCCAAUUGUAACCACGCACAUUUCCCUCAGGGGCUAUGUAAGUCCCUAAACCACGCUGCUGCUGCUGCUGCUGCUGCUACUGCUGCUGCUGCAGACGCUUCCACCUCUACUGUAGCCUGCACUGAAUAAACCCAUCU